rnacentral:rRNA from 1 species
UUUCUCGAGCGAGUGGCGAACGGGUGAGUAACGCGUGAGGAACCUGCCUCAAAGAGGGGGACAACAGACGGAAACGACUGCUAAUACCGAAUAAGUUCCAAGAGCCGCAUGGCCCAUGGAAGAAAAGGUGGCCUCUACCUGUAAGCUAUCGCCUGAAGAGGGGUUUGCGUCUGAUUAGCUAGUUGGUGUGGUAACGGCAUACCAAGGCGACGAUCAGUAGCCGGUCUGAGAGGAUGAACGGCCACACUGGAACUGAGACACGGUCCAGACUCC